AAUGAACGCCGGCGGCGCGCCUAAUACAUGCAAGUCGAGCGAGAAGACGUAGCAAUACGUUUGUAAAGCGGCGAACGGGUGAGGAAUACAUGGGUAACCUACCCUAGAGUGGGGAAUAACUAGCCGAAAGGUUAGCUAAUACCGCGUACGCUCCUUGGACUUCGGUUCAGGGAGGAAAGCGAUACCGAGGGUAUCGCGCUCUUGGAUGGGCUCAUGUCCUAUCAGCUUGUUGGUGAGGAACGGCUCACCAAGGCUUCGACGGGUAGCUGGUCUGAGAGGACGAUCAGCCACACUGGCACUGCGACACGGGCCAGACUCCUACGGGAGGCAGCAGUAAGGAAUAUUGCGCAAUGGGCGAAAGCCUGACGCAGCGACGCCGCGUGGGGGAGUGAAGGUCUUCGG
rnacentral:rRNA from 1 species